CGAACCUGCCCUGAAGCGGGGGACAACAGCUUGAAAGAGCUGCUAAUACCGCAUGUGAAUCGCUGUGGCAUCACAGAGGAUUCAAAGCCGCAAGGCACUUCAGGAUGGGCCCGCGGCCUAUCAGCUAGUUGGUGAGGUAACGGCCCACCAAGGCUUCGACGGGUAGCUGGUCUGAGAGGACGAUCAGCCGGAUUGGGACUGAGAUACGGCCCAG
rnacentral:rRNA from 1 species